AGGCAGCAGUGGGGNAAUAUUGGACAAUGGGCGCAAGCCUGAUCCAGCCAUGCCGCGUGUGUGAAGAAGGUCUUCGGAUUGUAAAGCACUUUAAGUUGGGAGGAAGGUCAGUAGCUUAAUACGUUGCUGAUUUGACGUUACCGACAGAAUAAGCACCGGCUAACUCUGUGCCAGCAGCCGCGGUAAUACAGAGGGUGCAAGCGUUAAUCGGAAUUACUGGGCGUAAGGCGCGCGUAGGUGGUUUUGUAAGUUGGAGGUGAAAUCCCCGGGCUCAACCUGGGAACUGCCUCCAAAACUGCAAAGCUAGAGUACGGUAGAGGGUGGUGGAAUUUCCUGUGUAGCGGUGGAAAUGCGUAGAUAUAGGAAGGGAACACCAGUGGCGAAGGCGACCACCUGGACUGAUACUGACACUGAGGUGCGAAAGCGUGGGGAGCAAACAGGGAUUAGAUACCCUGGUAGUCCACGCCGUAAACGAUGUCAACUAGCCGUUGGGUUCCUUGAGAACUUAGUGGCGCAGCUAACGCAUUAAGUUGACCGCCUGGGGAGUACGGCCGCAAGGUUAAAACUCAAAUGAAUUGACGGGGGC
rnacentral:rRNA from 1 species